CCUACGGGUGGCAGCAGUGAGGAAUAUUGGUCAAUGGACGAGAGUCUGAACCAGCCAAGUAGCGUGAAGGAUGACUGCCCUAUGGGUUGUAAACUUCUUUUAUAAAGGAAUAAAAUGAGGCACGUGUGCCUUUUUGUAUGUACUUUAUGAAUAAGGAUCGGCUAACUCCGUGCCAGCAGCCGCGGUAAUACGGAGGAUCCGAGCGUUGUCCGGAUUUAUUGGGUUUAAAGGGAGCGUAGAUGGGUUGUUAAGUCAGUUGUGAAAGUUUGCGGCUCAACCGUAAAAUUGCAAUUGAUACUGGCAGUCUUGAGGACAGUUGAGGUAGGCGGAAUUCGUGGUGUAGCGGUGAAAUGCUUAGAUAUCACGAAGAACCCCGAUUGCGAAGGCAGCUUACUAAACUGUCACUGACAUUGAUGCUCGAAAGUAUGGGUAUCAAACAGGAUUAGAUACCCUAGUAGUC
rnacentral:rRNA from 1 species